CCUACGGGAGGCUGCAGUGAGGAAUAUUGGUCAAUGGACGAGAGUCUGAACCAGCCAAGUAGCGUGAAGGAUGACUGCCCUAUGGGUUGUAAACUUCUUUUAUAUGGGAAUAAAAUGUUCCACGUGUGGGAGGUUGUAUGUACCAUAUGAAUAAGGAUCGGCUAACUCAGUGCCAGCAGCAGCGGUAAUACGGAGGAACCGAGCGUUAUCCGGAUUUAUUGGGUUUAAAGGGAGCGUAGGUGGAUUGUUAAGUCAUUUGUGAAAGGUUGCGGCUCAACCGUAAAAUUGCAGUUGAAACUGGCAGUCUUGAGUACAGUAGAGGUGGGCGGAAUUCGUGGUGUAGCGGUGAAAUGCUUAGAUAUCACGAAGAACUCCGAUUGCGAAGGCAGUUCACUGGACUGCAACUGACACUGAGGCUCGAAAGUGUGGGUAUCAAACAGGAUUAGAUACCCGAGUAGUC
rnacentral:rRNA from 1 species